rnacentral:rRNA from 1 species
AGCAGCCGCGGUAAUUCCAGCUCCAAUAGCGUAUAUUAAAGUUGUUGCAGUUAAAAAGCUCGUAGUUGAAUUUCGGGGUCAAUACGUCGGUCGUGCCUUCGGUACGUACUGGUAUUAUUGAUCUCUCCCUUCUGAUGAAUCAUGAUGUCAUUAAUUUGGUGUCGUGGGGAGUCAGGACUGUUACUUUGAAAAAAUUAGAGUGUUUAAAGCAGGCUCACGCUUGAAUACAUUAGCAUGGAAUAAUGAAAUAGGACGUUCGAUCCUAUUUUGUUGGUUUCUAGGAUCAACGUAAUGAUUAAUAGGGAUAGUUGGGGGCAUUAGUAUUCAAUUGUCAGAGGUGAAAUUCUUGGAUUUUAUUGAAGACUAACUACUGCGAAAGCAUUCGCCAAGGAUGUUUUCAUUAAUCAAGAACGAAAGUUAGGGGAUCGAAGACGAUCAGAUACCGUCGUA